rnacentral:lncRNA from 1 species
GGUGGUCAGAUUGGCCGAUCAAAGUCGGAUCUAAUUAUUCGUUAGUUAGAUGUACUGAGUAUGAUCAUAUUAAUAGUUGAACCUAAUCAGACCUUUUAGUAGAGGCCAAAGCCUACUGAAAAGGUAUCUGAGGUAAAAUUAUUUACUAAAAAUUAUUUAAAAAAAUAAUUGAUUAAAAAUCUAUCUAUAGAUGCACAUGGAUUGGCCGACCAAAGUCAGGCCUAUGUGUAGUUUGUGUGGAUUCUAGUAUCCACUAAGAAAUUAAAGUAAUUUCUCGAAUUAGAGAUAGAGGCUAUCAAUUUGUAUAAAAUAGUGAAAAAAUUUUUAAACUAAAGUUCAAAUCUUUAGGCUUAAUAAUUCAUAUACUAAUUAGACUUUUGAUUUUUUUUAUGCAAUAUUGGCCACUACUUUAUCGCUCCGAUCAUUAUUGGAUAGUGAUAAAUUGACAGGAUCCAAUUUCGAUAGCUGAUAUCAAAAAUUAAAGAUUAUCCUGGAGUAUGAACGGAUCUUGUAUGUGCUUAUAGAUCCGACACCUGAGGAGCUCGCUCUGAAUGCUGGUGGUGCAGUCUGAGAUACUGUAAAAAUAAAAAGGUGCAACAUGCUAGGGGUCAGACCAAAAAGUUCAAAUCUGAUCAGAGUCAGACAGAGUACUUCUACUAUAAA